GCCAGAGGGGGCAAGCGUUGCUCGGAAUCACUGGGCGUAAAGGGCGCGUAGGCGGGAUGGCAAGUCGGUCGUGAAAUCUCUCGGCUCAACCGAGAAACGUCGGCCGAUACUGCCGUUCUUGAGGGAUGCAGAGGAGACUGGAAUUCCCGGUGUAGCGGUGAAAUGCGCAGAUAUCAGGAGGAACACCAAUGGCGAAGGCAGCUCGCUGGGACGUGACUGACGCUGAGACGCGAAAGCGUGGGGAGCAAACAGG
rnacentral:rRNA from 1 species